UAGAGUAUCUAGCCUUUUUUUCACUCAUAAUAAGUCUCCUGAAGAUUCAUGCAUGUUGUGUGUGUCUAUAGCAUGUUCCUUUUUAUAGCUGAGUGCUAUUCCAUUGUAUGGAUAUACCACAGUUUGUUUCACCAAUCACCUGUUGAAGGUUAUCUGGGCCUUUUCCAAAACUGCUAUGAACAUUUGAUUCCUUCAAAUAAAGCCUCCCAGGAUUUUGUGUAGGCAUAAGCUUUAUAUCCCUGGGAUAAAUGCCUGAGAGUACAAUUUCUGGUCACAUGUCAUUUUAACAGAACUGACAAAUCAUUUUCUAUACUAACUCUACUAUUGUACAUUUCACCAGCAAUUUAUGAGUGAUCCAGUUUUUUCACAUCCAUGGCAACAUUUGGUGUUCUCACUACUUUUAAUUUUAGCAAUUCUAAAAAAUGUAGAGAGAUACAGAAUCAUGAUUUUAAUUUGUAUUACUUUGAUGUCAAAUAUUAGUUUGUUGCUUACCUGUCUUCUGAGCAGCCUCUUCAGUGAAAUAUUUGUUCAUGUCUUUUGUCCAUGUUCUAAUUGAAUCAUUUGGGUUUUGUUGUUGUUAAUGUUUGUUUGUUUACUACUGAGUUUGGGGAGUUUUUUAUAUAAUUUAGAUACUAAUCCUUUGUCAGAUAUUGGUUUGAAAAUAUUUUCUCUGUAAUCCAUCUCAUGGCUUGCUUUUUCAUUCAACAUUGUUGUUCUCAACUUCACUUAAAAUAGACUAAUUUUUUUCAUUUUUUAUUGUUAUAUAGUACUCCAGGGUACAUUCCACUGUUGAUAGACGUUGGUGUUAUAAUGCUGUCUUGUUUUAUUUGAUUUUCCCAGAUUACAAAUAUUUGCAUUUAUUUUGUAUGCAAAAUUAAGCUUGGAUAUUCAGGUUUGCUUUUUGAUUAAGUAUCUAUAUAAAUUCUUAGUCCAUUCGGGGGUGGGGGGUAUUCUCCAUUUUCUCAUUGAUUUGAGGGAGUCCUGUUGUUUGUUUGUUGUUUACUUGCUUGCUUACUCAUUUUACAUAUUCUCAACAUGAAUCUUUUUCUACUUAUGUGUGUUCCAAAUCUCUUCUUCCAGUUUGUGGGCUUGUCCUUUGACAUCUGUUGGGAUGUCUUUUGAUGAACAAACAUUUGAAUGCAGUCAAACUUUUCAGACUUUUCUGAAUGAUUGCAAUUCUUAGACUUGAAGAACUCCUUCCCUGUCCUGAAGUCGUAAAUACCUCCCGUGUCGUCACAGUAUUUAAGAACAUAGUCGCCCCCACCAAACUGCCUAGAUUCAAAUCCUAGACAACUUGUUUAACUUCUUUAUGCCUCAAUUUACUCAGUCACCAAAUGGCAAUGAUAUCAGUACCUAGAUCACACAGUUGUUCUCAGGCCUAAAUAAAGUAAUAUGCUGGGGCUGGGGAUGUGGCUCAAGUGGUAGCACGCUCACCUGGCAUGCGUGCAGCCAGGGUUCGAUCCUCAGCACCACAUACAAACAAAGAUGUUGUGUCCGCCAAUAACUAAAAAAUUAAUAUUAAAAUUCUCUCUCUCUCUUUAAAAAAAAAUAAAGUAAUAUGCUGAAGCAGCUGAAGAUUGGUGUAUGUAAAUGUUAGAGCCUGUAUCCUCACCAUCUUCACCAGGUUUUGAAAUAUUAACUCUGACAUUUAAAUCUCUAACUACUUAAUAUUUAUUUUUAUAUAUAGUGUGAGGUAUGGGUCCAACUUUUUAAAUAAAUAUGAGUCAUCGAUUUACACAGCACACUUUUUUAAGUCUCACCAAACUGCAAGACCAACGAUGGUAAAUCAAAUUU
rnacentral:lncRNA from 1 species